UACGUAGGGGGCUAGCGUUGUUCGGAAUUACUGGGCGUAAAGCGCACGUAGGCGGCUUGGUAAGUUAGAGGUGAAAGCCUGGAGCUCAACUCCAGAAUUGCCUUUAAGACUGCCGAGCUAGCAGGUGAGAGAGGUGAGUGGAAUUCCGAGUGUAGAGGUGAAAUUCGUAGAUAUUCGGAAGAACACCGGUGGCGAAGGCGACUCACUGGACACGUAUUGACGCUGAGGUGCGAAAGCGUGGGGAGCAAACAGG
rnacentral:rRNA from 1 species